rnacentral:rRNA from 1 species
UGAAUACGAGAUGCUACGGCGUCGAAGCAGUCUAUGUCAUACUUCCAAGAAAAGCUUGCACUGUCAUAAACAAAUAAUGCCUGUACCAUAACCGACACAGGUGGGUAGGUAGAGUAUACUAAGGGGCGCGAGAUAACUCUCUCUAAGGAACUCGGCAAAAUGACUCCGUAACUUCGGGAGAAGGAGUGCCUUAUUUAUAAGGUUGCAAUAACAAGAUCCAAGCAACUGUUUACCAAAAACACAGGUCUCCGCUAAGUCGUAAGACGAUGUAUGGGGGCUGACGCCUGCCCAGUGCCAGAAGGUUAAAGAAGUUGGUUAGCAUCCGCGAAGCUGAUAACUGAAGCCCUGGUGAACGGCGGCCGUAACAAUAACGGUCCUAAGGUAGCGAAAUUCCUUGUCGGGUAAGUUCCGACCCGCACGAAAGGCGUAAUGAUUUGGAUACUGUCUCGGAGAGGGGCUCGGUGAAAUAGACUUGUCUGUGAAGAUGCGGACUACCUGCACCAGGACAGAAAGACCCUAUGAAGCUUUACUGUAACCUGAAAUUGAAAUUGGACUUUACUUGCGCAGUAUAGGUGGGAGGCGUUGAGAAUAUUCUUGCGGGAUUAUUGGAGCCAUCAGUGAGAUACCACUCUUGUAAUGUUAGAUUUCUAACUUUGUAUCAUUAUCUGGUCAAAGAACAGUUUCAGGCGGGCAGUUUGACUGGGGCGGUCGCCUCCUAAACGGUAACGGAGGCGCACAAAGGUUUCCUCUGAACGGGUAGAAAUCGUAUCUAGAGUGUAAAGGCAUAAGGAAGCUUGACUGUGAGACCUACAAGUCGAGCAGGGACGAAAGUCGGUCUUAGUGAUCUGACGGUGCUGAGUGGAAAGGCCGUCACUCAACGGAUAAAAGUUACUCUAAGGAUAACAGGCUGAUCUCCCCCAAGAGUUCACAUCGACGGGGAGGUUUGGCACCUCGAUGUCGGCUCAUCGCAUCCUGGGGCGGUAGUACGUCCCAAGGGUUGGGCUGUUCGCCCAUGAAAGCGGUACGCGAGCUGGGUUCAGAACGUCGUGAGACAGUUCGGUCCAUAUCCGGUGUAGGCGUUAGAAUAUUGAGAGGAGCCUUCUUUAGUACGAGAGGACCGAGAAGGACAUACCUCUGGUGUACCAGUUAUCGUGCCAACGGUAAACGCUGGGUAGCUAUGUGUGGAGUGGAUAACCGCUGGAAGCAUCUAAGUGGGAAGCCCACCUCAAGAUAAGUAUUCUCA